rnacentral:rRNA from 1 species
AUGCUCUUAAUGAUCCCGGCUCAUGAUUUAAUUGCCAUGUAUUUAGCUAUUGAGCUUCAAAGUUUAUGUUUUUAUGUGAUCGUAGCAUCAAAAAGAAAGUCUGAAUUUUCCACGGAAGCCGGCUCAAAAUAUUUGAUCUUAGGUGCAUUUCCCUCUGGAAUAUUAUUGUUCGGGUGCGACCGGACUACUACCGAUCAAUUUUUGGGAACUUAUUUAUAG